GACGAACGCUGGCGGCGUGCCUAAUACAUGCAAGUAGAACGCACAGUUUAUACCGUAGCUUGCUACACCAUAGACUGUGAGUUGCGAACGGGUGAGUAACGCGUAGGUAACCUGCCUGGUAGCGGGGGAUAACUAUUGGAAACGAUAGCUAAUACCGCAUAAUAUUAAUUAUUGCAUGAUAAUUAAUUGAAAGGUGCAAUUGCACCACUACCAGAUGGACCUGCGUUGUAUUAGCUAGUAGGUGAGGUAACGGCCCACCUAGGCGACGAUACAUAGCCGACCUGAGAGGGUGCUCGGCCCCACUGGGACUGAGACCCGGCCCAGACUCCUACGGGAGGCAGCAGUAGGGAAUCUUCGGCAAUGGACGAAAGUCUGACCGAGCAACGCCGCGUGAGUGAAGAAGGUUUUCGGAUCGUAAAGCUCUGUUGUAAGAGAAGAACGGGUGUGAGAGUGGAAAGUUCACACUGUGACGGUAUCUUACCAGAAAGGGACGGCUAACUACGUG
rnacentral:rRNA from 1 species